GACGAACGCUGGCGGCGUGCUUAACACAUGCAAGUCGAACGGAAAGGCCCUGCUUUUGUGGGGUGCUCGAGUGGCGAACGGGUGAGUAACACGUGAGUAACCUGCCCUUGACUUUGGGAUAACUUCAGGAAACUGGGGCUAAUACCGGAUAGGAGCUCCUGCUGCAUGGUGGGGGUUGGAAAGUUUCGGCGGUUGGGGAUGGACUCGCGGCUUAUCAGCUUGUUGGUGGGGUAGUGGCUUACCAAGGCUUUGACGGGUAGCCGGCCUGAGAGGGUGACCGGCGACAUUGGGACUGAGAUACGGCCCAGACUCCUACGUGAGGCAGCAGUGGGGAAUAUUGCACAAUGGGCGGAAGCCUGAUGCAGCAACGCCGCGUGCGGGAUGACGGCCUUCGGGUUGUAAACCGCUUUCGCCUGUGACGAAGCGUGAGUGACGGUAAUGGGUAAAGAAGCACCGGCUAACUACGUG
rnacentral:rRNA from 1 species